AAAGGCUAUUCAAGCUGAGGGAGGGGCUGUGCAUGGAGGCUGCCCCGUGCAGUCAGCACCUCCAGGCCUCAGGGCCGCCAACCCCAGUCCUCCGCGAGAGGCACACAGGUUUGACAAAAACGCCAAGCCCCUGCCGUUGGGCUGCUGGCACUGACCCUGCCAUUGCAACAAAUGUCCAGCCCCUCCGCACGCUGACGAGCUCAGCGCCCGCUCCCGCGUAGCCCUCCCCUCCCUGGAAACGCAAGGAAGCCGGGAGGUGUCAAAAACCGCGUCCGGAACACGGCUCAGUCCUUCCUGGAGGUUUGAUACACCCUUUGAGCUUGGGUGAGGCUGGUUCACGAGAGAACACUAAUGAGCUGUGAAAUGACCAAGAAUCUGGCAGCAGAAGGGGAAUAAAAGUAACAGGUUUGUAUAUUACACUUUCUAGAUAAUCAGCUCUUGAAUGAGUAAGUGUGGAAGAUGUCUUAGGGGGAAAAGCAGAUUUUAAAAACUCAUUUUAUGACUGUGGAAUUGCUUUAUUGAUCAUUACCAGAUUUAUUUUGCAAUCAGUGUGUGAAUUUGUGUGUGUGUGUGUGUGUGUGUGUGUGUUAGGAAUACAACCCCGGCAUAGUAGACAAGCACUCCACCACUAAGCUGCUGUCCCUGUUUUUAGAUGUCUCUGGCCCAAAUUUAUUAAUUAUCUUAGAAAAACAAAGUUCUCAUGUUAUGCUGUGUAACCACAUGAAAUUACAUUACUGUUACUGUUGCUCAGCCUUCUCUCCAGUAUUUAUUGGACUAGUCAUGGGAAUGGUGGUCUAAAGAAACUAAGAAAUAAGACGGCCAUGGUGGUGCACACCUGUAAUCCCAGCUCUCGGG